AACCCGACUCCACUGAAGCUGGAUUCGCUAGUAAUCGCGCAUCAGCCACGGCGCGGUGAAUACGUUCCCGGGCCUUGUACACACCGCCCGUCAAGCCAUGGAAGCCGGGAGUGCCUGAAGUGCGUGACCGCAAGGAGCGUCCUAAGGCAAUACCGGUGACUGGGGCUAAGUCGUAACAAGGUAUC
rnacentral:rRNA from 1 species